rnacentral:tRNA from 1 species
CCCUAGUGGGCUCAGAUAGUAAAGAAUCUGCCUGCAAAGCAGGAAACUCGGGUUCAAUCCCUGGAUCAGGAA